rnacentral:piRNA from 1 species
UACAUUCUUGGGUGGUGAAUAGGUUCUCUCC